rnacentral:rRNA from 1 species
UACGUAGGGUCCGAGCGUUGUCCGGAAUUACUGGGCGUAAAGAGCUCGUAGGUGGUUUGUCGCGUUGUUCGUGAAAACUCACAGCUUAACUGUGGGCGUGCGGGCGAUACGGGCAGACUUGAGUACGUGCAGGGGAGACUGGGAAUUCCUGGGUGUAGCGGUGGAAUGCGCAGAUAGUCAGGAGGAACACCGGUGGCGAAGGCGGGUCUCUGGGCAGUAACUGACGCUGGAGGAGCGAAAAGCGUGGGGAGCGAACAGG